GAGGACAUAGCUCAGUGGUAGAGCACACGCUUAGCAUGCACGAGGUCCCGGGUUCAAUCCCCAGGACCUCC
rnacentral:tRNA from 1 species